rnacentral:rRNA from 1 species
GACGAACGCUGGCGGCGUGCUUAACACAUGCAAGUCGUACGGUAAGGCCCUUUCGGGGGUACACGAGUGGCGAACGGGUGCGUAACACGUGAGUAACCUGCCCACAACUUUGGGAUAACGCUAGGAAACUGGUGCUAAUACUGGAUAUGUGCUCCUGCUGCAUGGUGGGGGUUGGAAAGCUCCGGCGGUUGUGGAUGGACUCGCGGCCUAUCAGCUUGUUGGUGGGGUAGUGGCCUACCAAGGCGGCGACGGGUAGCCGGCCUGAGAGGGUGACCGGCCACAUUGGGACUGAGAGACGGCCCAGACUCCUACGGGAGGAAGCAGUGGGGAAUAUUGCACAAUGGGCGCAAGCCUGAUGCAGCAACGCCGCGUGCGGGAUGACGGCCUUCGGGUUGUAAACCGCUUUCAGCAGGGACGAAGCUUUUUGUGACGGUACCUGCAGAAGAAGCACCGGCUAACUACGUG